rnacentral:rRNA from 1 species
AACGAACGCUGGCGGCAUGCCUAACACAUGCAAGUCGAACGAGACCUUCGGGUCUAGUGGCGCACGGGUUCGUAACGCGUGGGAACCUGCCCUUAGGUUCGGAAUAACUCCCCGAAAGGGGUGCUAAUACCGGAUAAUGUCUUCGGACCAAAGAUUUAUCGCCUUUGGAUGGGCCCGCGUUGGAUUAGCUAGUUGGUAGGGUAAAAGCCUACCAAGGCGACGAUCCAUAGCUGGUCUGAGAGGAUGAUCAGCCACACUGGGACUGAGACACGGCCCAGACUCCUACGGGAGGCAGCAGUGGGGAAUAUUGGACAAUGGGCGAAAGCCUGAUCCAGCAAUGCCGCGUGAGUGAUGAAGGCCUUAGGGUUGUAAAGCUCUUUUAACCGGGAUGAUAAUGACAGUACCGGGAGAAUAAGCGCCGGCUAACUCCGUG